rnacentral:rRNA from 1 species
CCUACGGGAGGCAGCAGUGAGGAAUAUUGGUCAAUGGACGAGAGUCUGAACCAGCCAAGUAGCGUGAAGGAUGACUGCCCUAUGGGUUGUAAACUUCUUUUAUAUGGGAAUAAACUGUUCCACGUGUGGGAUUUUGUAUGUACCAUAUGAAUAAGGAUCGGCUAACUCCGUGCCAGCAGCCGCGGUAAUACGGAGGAUCCGAGCGUUAUCCGGAUUUAUUGGGUUUAAAGGGAGCGUAGGUGGAUUGUUAAGUCAGUGGUGAAAGUUUGCGGCUCAACCGUAAAAUUGCAGUUGAAACUGGCAGUCUUGAGUACAGUAGAGGUGGGCGGAAUUCGUGGUGUAGCGGUGAAAUGCUUAGAUAUCACGAAGAACUCCGAUUGCGAAGGCAGUUCACUGGACUGCAACUGACACUGAGGCUCGAAAGUGUGGGUAUCAAACAGGAUUAGAUACCCUUGUAGUC